GAGCCGCGCGUUAAUCCGUCGCGGAGCCUGGUGGGGGCAGCCUAAAAGCUGGAUCUGCGCGACACAGGAAAACCGAUGCCUCGAUGGGGGAAAGCCCUGUAGCUCCUGGCAUGGCUGGCUGGGGAAUGCGGCGGGCCGUAGGACUGGCCUCCUGUCUGGACCGUGCACAGCUGCGAGCCAAUUCUGCCGGCAAGGAAGGGGGUACAAGCUGCCUGGCACUGACGAUGGAAAGCUCACACCAGGCUGCUUGUCCACCCCUCUCAGGGAUUUGCAUGUGGGAGGAAACACUUCCUCUGCCCCAUGACCUGGGAAUCUCAGCCGGAGGACCCUGCCUCCUGCUCCUGUCAGUGUGGCAGCUUGGCAUCCCCAAGAUCUUGGCUGGAGGACUGAGGGGGCAAAGAGUGGGAGGCAGUGCCUGGGGACCCCUGCUGUGCCCAGCAAAUUGUUACUUGAGCACAGCUGAAGCCCCUCAGCAACGUUAGGCUGGAGGUGUCUGUGCAGCUAUCCUGAGUUUAAAGCAUUGUUCAAACUCACCCAUAGUGGUUCAGAGUGAGAAGGGUUAAAUCUUCAGUCCGAAACUAACGUCUGUCAUUAAGUUAAUGGGUGCCUAAGCUGGGCCUCUUUUCUCUCAAUGUCAGCUCUGCCUUAGUUAUAGGUGAAUAAAUUUGAGCUUUUAAAUUUUUUAAAAUCUGUACUAUUGUUUUUAAUUCACUGUGUAAGCCGCCUGGGAAAGCAUUAGAACGUCAAGAUAGAUGUCAAAUGACAUGAACAAGCAUAAAAUACUAGUGCACCUUACAAGAUUGGUGUAAAUAUUACUUAGGAGGUAUGCAACCCGCAAAUACUCUGAAGGUUUGAAAUGGACUGUGUACAUGUCUAAAUAUAGCAAAGAGUGUGAGAGAGAAUGGAGCUACGAUAUGAGGGAAGGAAACUAUUAUCGUUGAUUGUUUGAACAAUAUUUUGCCUAGAAAUGUGGAUAAUAAAUGAAUAAUCAAUAAGGAAAUAUAAAUAAGUGAUGAAGCUAAGUGGCUUCUGUCAUUCUGACUGUUGGAAGAAGAGGGACUUUUGUCUGCACGUGGUGUAGUCCUUGAACCAAGUGUGAGGCCUCACACCAGAAAGCUGCUCUUCACCAUCAGACUUCCGUACUCACCAGAGCUGCUCAAAGGCCUCACUUAUUUUCUGCUGGAGGUUUUUCUUGGCUGCGUCGAUUACCUCCACCUCCUUGUGCAGUUCAUCUUCGACAGGGUCCUUCACCACGUCGAUGGCUCGGCGGCUCUCUCGGAGGGUAAGAUUUUCAAUGGCCACAUCCAGUGGCAAGUUCUUUGCCUGCAGGGCUCGCUCCGCCUCCUCCUUCAUCUGAAAAGGAGAAAUUAGAAUUGACUUCACUUUCUUCUAUUCUGGGGAUGUGAAGGGGCUGCCACAAGUGAAAAUAGCAUGCUGGCAACAUUGACUUGUGGGGACAAGCCAUGUUUCAUUUGGGAAUCUUGCAGCUUGGUCAAGUGGAUUCUGGCACACGAUUUUCAUCGCAAGCCGGCUUGAAUGUACGAACCAUUCACUUCUAGCAGUUCUUCGGCAACUUGAAAACUGUUGGCUCACUGUGAAGCCAUGGCAUGACAGCUUCUGCACAGAACCUCCUAGUACGCUUAUGUAAUGCAUUAAGUGGCUUGGCCCUGAAUUGCACAUUUGGAAAGGCUCAAGCAAAGCUAAAGAGUUUGAGGACCCUCAACAAUUAAUAGCCAAGGUCAUGCAGAGACUGCACUCAUACAGCAAGACUGAACCAAAAUGCUGAGCCAAGGUGAAAAUCUGAAUGAAGCUCAGUCCUGCCAUCUGAAUAAAAGUAUGUGAAUAUUAAA